ACUCAAAUGAAUUGACGGGGACCCGCACAAGCGGUGGAGCAUGUGGUUUAAUUCGACGCAACGCGAAGAACCUUACCUGGGCUAGAAUGUGCGAGAAGACCUUGCAAAACAGGGUCGCCGAGGGUAAAACCGAGGCUCAAAACAAGGUGCUGCACGGCUGUCGUCAGCUCGUGUCGUGAGAUGUUGGGUUAAGUCCCGCAACGAGCGCAACCCCUACUGCUAGUUGCUAACAGGUUAAGCUGAGCACUCUAGUAGAACCGCUGAUGAUAAAUUGGAGGAAGGUGGGGAUGACGUCAAGUCAUCAUGGCCUUUAUGCCCAGGGCUACACACGUGCUACAAUGGUUGGUACAAAGAGAAGCAAGACCGCGAGGUGGAGCCAAUCUCAUAAAGCCAACCUCAGUUCGGAUUGUAGUCUGCAACUCGACUACAUGAAGUUGGAAUCGCUAGUAAUCGCGGAUCAGCACGCCGCGGUGAAUACGUUCCCGGGUCUUGCACACACCGCCCGU
rnacentral:rRNA from 1 species